GGCUUAACACAUGCAAGUCGAGGGGCAGCAUGGUCUUAGCUUGCUAAGGCCGAUGGCGACCGGCGCACGGGUGAGUAACACGUAUCCAACCUGCCGUCUACUCUUGGACAGCCUUCUGAAAGGAAGAUUAAUACAAGAUGGCAUCAUGAGUCCGCAUGUUCACAUGAUUAAAGGUAUUCCGGUAGACGAUGGGGAUGCGUUCCAUUAGAUAGUAGGCGGGGUAACGGCCCACCUAGUCUUCGAUGGAUAGGGGUUCUGAGAGGAAGGUCCCCCACAUUGGAACUGAGACACGGUCCAAACUCCUACGGGAGGCAGCAGUGAGGAAUAUUGGUCAAUGGGCGAGAGCCUGAACCAGCCAAGUAGCGUGAAGGAUGACUGCCCUAUGGGUUGUAAACUUCUUUUAUAAAGGAAUAAAGUCGGGUAUGGAUACCCGUUUGCAUGUACUUUAUGAAUAAGGAUCGGCUAACUCCGUGCCAGCAGCCGCGGUAAUACGGAGGAUCCGAGCGUUAUCCGGAUUUAUUGGGUUUAAAGGGAGCGUAGAUGGAUGUUUAAGUCAGUUGUGAAAGUUUGCGGCUCAACCGUAAAAUUGCAGUUGAUACUGGAUAUCUUGAGUGCAGUUGAGGCAGGCGGAAUUCGUGGUGUAGCGGUGAAAUGCUUAGAUAUCACGAAGAACUCCGAUUGCGAAGGCAGCCUGCUAAGCUGCAACUGACAUUGAGGCUCGAAAGUGUGGGUACCAAACAGGAUUAGAUACCCUGGUAGUCCACACGGUAAACGAUGAAUACUCGCUGUUUGCGAUAUACAGCAAGCGGCCAAGCGAAAGCGUUAAGUAUUCCACCUGGGGAGUACGCCGGCAACGGUGAAACUCAAAGGAAUUGACGGGGGCCCGCACAAGCGGAGGAACAUGUGGUUUAAUUCGAUGAUACGCGAGGAACCUUACCCGGGCUUAAAUUGCAGAUGAAUUACGGUGAAAGCCGUAAGCCGCAAGGCAUCUGUGAAGGUGCCGCAUGGUUGUCGUCAGCUCGUGCCGUGAGGUGUCGGCUUAAGUGCCAUAACGAGCGCAACCCUUGUUGUCAGUUACUAACAGGUUCCGCUGAGGACUCUGACAAGACUGCCAUCGUAAGAUGUGAGGAAGGUGGGGAUGACGUCAAAUCAGCACGGCCCUUACGUCCGGGGCUACACACGUGUUACAAUGGGGGGUACAGAGGGCCGCUACCACGCGAGUGGAUGCCAAUCCCCAAAACCUCUCUCAGUUCGGACUGGAGUCUGCAACCCGACUCCACGAAGCUGGAUUCGCUAGUAAUCGCGCAUCAGCCACGGCGCGGUGAAUACGUUCCCGGGCCUUGUACACACCGCCCGUCAAGCCAUGGGAGCCGGGGGCACCUGAAGUGCGUAACCGCGAGGAGCGCCCUAGGGUAAAACUGGUGACUGGGGCUAAGUCGU
rnacentral:rRNA from 1 species